AAAUAAGAUAUAUUAAGACUCUUCAGCCAGAAAAAGAAGUGACUGGUGUGGGAUAUGCUAGAGAUGAAAGUAGAGAGAUCUGCAGUACUGAUGAAAAUUCACUAAACAAUUUGCUAGGAAUUGUGAACACUAGGUUAAAUAGGAACCACAAUAAAAGGCAUUUAGCUUUGAAAUUGUCCUUGGUUUCCACAGUUCAAGGUCUAAGCGAAGGAGACGAUAAAAAAUUUCACAGAUAUAACAAAAGUAUUGAUUUUCUCAUCAACUAGUUGUAUAUGUCCUGG
rnacentral:lncRNA from 1 species